rnacentral:rRNA from 1 species
GAUCAUGGCUCAGGAUGAACGCUAGCUACAGGCCUAACACAUGCAAGUCGAGGGGCAGCGGGAUUGAAGCUUGCUUCAAUUGCCGGCGACCGGCGCACGGGUGGGUAACGCGUAUCCAACCUUCCGCAUACUCGGGGAUAGCCUUCUGAAAAGGAGAUUAAUACCCGAUGGUAUCAAGAGAUUGCAUGAUAACUUGAUUAAAGAAUUUCGGUAUGCGAUGGGGAUGCGUUCCA